ensembl:lncRNA
GGUCAAGGAAGGCCAGCAGUGCUGAGCUCCUAAAGCUGACCGGGCUCAUCUUAGUGGGACAUAGGAACAGGGUCUAGGGUAGGAUGGAAUCCUUUGUGUGACUCUCUCACUUAUUGAUACUCAUUGUCCUAACAGGCUAAAUAUCAAUAUAGUGUCCCCUGUUUGUGACAAGCCAAUGCCAAUAUUCCUUAUACACCUACAAAGCUGAUUAUGAGCACCCUGGGUCUAAAACACCCCAGUCUCGUUCUUGCUGAGUACCACUUGGUUGCAGGAAGAAUGUAGGACCCAGGACAUGAGCUGUGCAGACCCCACCAGGUAUGGUUCAGGCAGUGUUCUGGCUCGGCUGCUUACCAGGGUGUUUAAGUGCAAAAGUCCCCAAGGAUGUCCAGGUAACCUGAAACAUUUCUUUCUACACUUAAACUCCCCCACUAUCUCCACAUCCGCAGACUCCUAGGAAGAGCUGACUAUUGCUGUUGACAGCAAUAACAGUUCAUUUUCUUUUGUUUGGAUUAAACAAUAAUUUGAGUGGAAAGUACUUCUUAGUGCAGCAAUUAAGGACUAACUGGAGGGAAAGCCAAGGACUUAGACCAGCCAGUCAUUAGCUCCCAGGAAAUGUUAGCUCUGCCGGGUAACAAUGGCUAGAAAACUCUGAUAUGGUGGGAAGAAAAAAAAAGGAAAAAUUGAAGCAAUUCUCUUUUCUUUUUUAAACAAUGAAAAGUUUAACCAUGUGGUGGAGUUGCCAUAGACAGGAGCUCGGGGUGGUUCACAUUUGUCCUGGGUCUGCACCCGGGGCAUCAUGAUUGGACAGUUGUUAGCACCCACAGCUUCUCUUCCCAAGUACCAGUAAUGAAUAGCCCCAGGCUCCCACGGAAACCCCCAAGCCUUUACUUGUCACUGUAAUUUCCUUGGAAAGUGCUUCUAAUUACAAAGUUCUUGAUGCCUGCUCCAGGUCAGGUCUCCUACACAGUGCACAAAUCACAUAAAGUGGGGCGUAGACUCUGGAGUAGGCCGAAGUGCCUGCCAUGCAGUUGUUCUUAGCUUUGGAGUUAAGUGGUAGUGGGUGUUGAGAGCAUCAUUUGCAUGAGCUAAAGGAACAGCACAGAACUACUUCUCUGUAACUCCUUGUAGUACAGAAUCCCUCUGCACAAGAGCAAAGAGUCCUAGCUGUUUGCUUUAAGGCUUGGUUAAGAGAGACUUAAUUAUUUCAUUACCUGGGACUUGCUGCUGGUGGUUUAGUUCUUGGAGAUGGGAACAUCAUUAGUUAGGAUUCUCAUAGACAAAGAAAAUUUCCAAGAUAUAAGGCAAUGCUCAUCUGGCAGGAAGUAAUGCUAAGAGCAUGUGGCCUAGCUAGCCAAUAGGCAGGUCAGAGGCAGAGUUAGGAACCAGAAGUCAUUACUCUGAAACUUGUGGUGCUUGACAACUGAGCUACAUCUCCAGGCUGAGACAGAGCAGUU